CUAGGGUAGAUCUGAAAGAGAAAGGCUGUAUUGUUGUUUAAAUCAGCUUCUACAGGAUCAAAUAGAACAUUUCCUGAAAGUGUUGGAGAUGGAAAAACACAAUAAAGAAGGAACCAGAGUAUUAACAGUUCCACCUCAUGAGCAAUAAUCUUACCAAUAUGCCAACGCAGGCAUAUUACACAGAUCACAAAAAGACCUGUGAGCUCCAUGACUGGAUGUUCUGUGGCUCACGCUGUGAGCUCGAAUGGCCACAGUCUUCCUCUGCGGAUAUUUCCGUGUCCAGGUACUUGGCCUGACCCUGUUGAACUAUCCUCCCAAGUACUGGACGGCUCACACUUCCGUGUUAAGU